AGAGUUUGAUCCUGGCUCAGGACGAACGCUGGCGGCGCGCCUAACACAUGCAAGUCGAACGAGAGAGAGGGAGCUUGCUUCCUCGAUCGAGUGGCGAACGGGUGAGUAACGCGUGAGGAACCUGCCUCAAAGAGGGGGACAACAGUUGGAAACGACUGCUAAUACCGCAUAAGCCCACGGCUCGGCAUCGAGCAGAGGGAAAAGGAGCAAUCCGCUUUGAGAUGGCCUCGCGUCCGAUUAGCUAGUUGGUGAGGUAACGGCCCACCAAGGCGACGAUCGGUAGCCGGACUGAGAGGUUGAACGGCCACAUUGGGACUGAGACACGGCCCAGACUCCUACGGGAGGCAGCAGUGGGGAAUAUUGCACAAUGGGGGAAACCCUGAUGCAGCGACGCCGCGUGGAGGAAGAAGGUCUUCGGAUUGUAAACUCCUGUUGUUGAGGAAGAUAAUGACGGUACUCAACAAGGAAGUGACGGCUAACUACGUGCCAGCAGCCGCGGUAAAACGUAGGUCACAAGCGUUGUCCGGAAUUACUGGGUGUAAAGGGAGCGCAGGCGGGAAGACAAGUUGGAAGUGAAAUCCAUGGGCUCAACCCAUGAACUGCUUUCAAAACUGUUUUUCUUGAGUAGUGCAGAGGUAGGCGGAAUUCCCGGUGUAGCGGUGGAAUGCGUAGAUAUCGGGAGGAACACCAGUGGCGAAGGCGGCCUACUGGGCACCAACUGACGCUGAGGCUCGAAAGUGUGGGUAGCAAACAGGAUUAGAUACCCUGGUAGUCCACACCGUAAACGAUGAUUACUAGGUGUUGGAGGAUUGACCCCUUCAGUGCCGCAGUUAACACAAUAAGUAAUCCACCUGGGGAGUACGACCGCAAGGUUGAAACUCAAAGGAAUUGACGGGGGCCCGCACAAGCAGUGGAGUAUGUGGUUUAAUUCGACGCAACGCGAAGAACCUUACCAAGUCUUGACAUCCUGCGACGAUGCUAGAAAUAGUAUUUUCCUUCGGGACGCAGAGACAGGUGGUGCAUGGUUGUCGUCAGCUCGUGUCGUGAGAUGUUGGGUUAAG
rnacentral:rRNA from 1 species